rnacentral:rRNA from 1 species
CCUACGGGAGGCAGCAGUGGGGAAUAUUGCACAAUGGGGGAAACCCUGAUGCAGCAACGCCGCGUGAGGGAAGACGGAUUUCGGAUUGUAAAGUUCUAUCCGUAGUGAAGAAUAAGGACGUUAGCGAAUAAGCAAGCCACGCUAAAUACGGGCCAGCAGGCGCGGUAAUAAGGAGGGGGCAAGCGUUAUCCGGAUAUACUGGGUGGAAAGGGAGGGGAGGCGGCGAGGCAAGUCAGAUGUGAAAGCCACGGGCUUAACCUCGAGACUGCAGUUGAAACUGGUUUUCUUGAGUGAAGUAGAGGCUGGCGGAAUUCCGAGUGUAGCGGUGAAAUGCGUAGAUAUUCGGAGGAACACCAGUGGCGAAGGCGGCCAACUGGGCUUUAACUGACGCUGAGGCUCGAAAGUGUGGGGAGCAAACAGGAUUAGAUACCCCAGUAGUC